rnacentral:tRNA from 1 species
GCCCCUAUAGAAGAAUUGGUAGAUUCAUCGGUCUCUAAAAUCGAAUUUUGUUGGUUCAAGUCCAACUAGGGGUA